rnacentral:lncRNA from 1 species
CAGAAAGUCCUUGUCUGGCUCACAGAAGGAAUUUGUCCUAGGUAACGUAUGCAUCUGGCACUGUCACUCACCCCUUCUACAGAGAGAAACUUCACUGUAAUCCUUACCAAGUUCAGUCAACGCCCUCAAAGAAAAGCCAAGGAAAUUGUGCCUCAGCUGGUGGGUGCCGUGUGUGAUUGGACUCUGUGGGUACUUCCGAUCCUCCAGCCCGAGUCUGCUUUCUCAGCGCUUCCAGCAGAGCCCAGGCCUGGGAGCAUUUGCCACACUUGAGGAUUCUCAGAGCAACCAGCAGUGUGGAGUGAGACAGCGCUACAUGCUGGGCAGGGGCCAGGUGCUCAGGACUGAAAGAUGAGAAGACAAAGUGGCUUUCUCCAAAGAACUCAGGGUCUGAGGAGUGCUGCAGAUAACGCGAGCAGGGCGACUGCAACAUGGCUAUUACUUGUAAAAAAAAAGGCACAUGUGAUCUUAGAGAUCUUGGGCUUCACCCAGAGUCACACCCUUCGCCGCUUCCCCUCUGUCCACGCCGGAGCCUUUCAACUGCCUCUCCUGUCUUGCUUUGCAGGAUGUCUCUUUGCUUGGCUUCAAGCUUGGUCUUUCCUUCUGCCUAGCAUCUUGUUUUCCGCUGAGUGGGAUUUCUUCUUUCCCUAACAUUCUGCUUCUCGUCAGGGCUCAGCCUUGGCCUUAUUUCUUGUCUCUGUGGUGAAAGGAAUGAGAACAAGAGAUCCAAUCAUGAAAAAUCCAUCCACUGAACAGGGCUUAGGUGCUGGCGAAAUGUCAGACGCUGGACGUGGAGAGGGCCGGUUAGCCACAGCAGCUGCCACAGCGGGACGCCCAGGGACUUUGGCGCUGCCUCUGCCUACCCAAGCAUCUGCUGGUCUAAAUCUUGAGGAAACCAUGCCGCCCGGAAGCUGCCCGACCGGAUAGACACCCUUCCCAGCUGAACAUGGCCAGGAUCUUCUGACCCAGUUAAGCAGGAAGUGCUGGACUAUGGCUGGCAACUGGGAAGAGUGGAUUUUCCAAGAAGACAAAAUUUCCUUUUUAUUUUUUUGCAUUUGGGGCUGAAUGCGGUAAAUUACACCCUGAUCAUCCUGGGCUCCCAGGUCCUGAGGAAUGUGAAAAGGGAGUGGAGAUUGAGCAACACUGGCUCCUGGGGCCGAGCAAGCCCAAGAUUCUGAGGUCUGCACAGCGCUGGACAGGUCUGGGCCUUUCUGGUAAACAUCUGGUCCGUUUCUCAACACCGGAAUGACCCGCAGAGGGGAAAACACCUGAAGGAAAGCAUCCAGGGCAUGCAGGAAGCGCUUGGGAAGUUUGUACACUGGUGAGAGAGCCAACUUUUUCCAUGGCUGGGGAUGAGCUGUGGCUGUUGGGAGCCCUGGAUGAUGGUGUGUGCUGUCCUCCCCAGCACCUUCUCUGAGCACCCUGACCUGUAGGAACACAGCAGACACAGCCGUGUCUGUCAGAAGGUGACGGAGUGUGGAUUAAGCUCCG